GGUCAAGUUAUUAAGGGUGCAGGGCGGAUGCCUUGGCACUAGGAGCCGAUGAAGGACGUGAUAAGCUGCGAUAAGCUUCGGGGAGUUGCACGUAAACUUUGAUCCGAAGAUUUCCGAAUGAGGAAACUCACUUAGAGUAAUGUCUAAGUAUCAUUAAGUGAAUACAUAGCUUAAUGAGGGGAACUCAGGGAACUGAAACAUCUAAGUACCUGAAGGAAGAGAAAGAAAUUCGAUUCCGUAAGUAGCGGCGAGCGAACGCGGAUUAGCCCAAACCAAUAAAGUUUUCUUUAUUGGGGUUGCGGACAUAUCAUAACGAAGAGGUAUCGUAAUUGAAGAGGUUUGGAAAGACCCACCACAGAAGGUAAUAGUCCUGUAUGUUAAACGAGAAGACUUCAGAUAUGAUCCAGAGUACCACGGGACACGUGAAACCCUGUGGGAAGCAGGAGGGACCACCCUCCAAGGCUAAAUACUACCUAGUGACCGAUAGCGUAUAGUACCGUGAGGGAAAGGUGAAAAGAACCCCGGGAGGGGAGUGAAAUAGAACCUGAAACCCUGCACUUACAAGCUGUGGAAGCACAUUUCUUGUGUGACCGCGUACUUUUUGUAGAACGGGCCAACGAGUUACGUUAAGUAGCAAGGUUAAGCACUUAAGGUGCGGAGCCGUAGCGAAAGCGAGUUUUAACUGAGCGUUCAGUUACUUGACGUAGACCCGAAACCGGGCGACCUACCCAUGAGCAGGAUGAAGCGAAAGUAAAAUUUCGUGGAGGUCCGAACCCACGAGCGUUGAAAAGCUCGGGGAUGACUUGUGGGUAGCGGUGAAAUUCCAAUCGAGCCCGGAGAUAGCUGGUUCUCCCCGAAAUAGCUUUAGGGCUAGCCUCAAGGUGAGAGAUACGGAGGUAGAGCACUGAAUGUCCUAGGGGGUAUUGCACCUACCGAAGACUAUCAAACUCCGAAUGCCGUCAUCUUAUACUUGGGAGUCAGACUGUGGGUGAUAAGAUUCAUAGUCGAAAGGGCAACAGCCCAGAUCGUCAGCUAAGGUCCCUAAAUGUAAGUUAAGUGGUAAAGGAUGUGGGAUUGCACAGACAACCAGGAUGUUGGCUUAGAAGCAGCCACUCAUUCAAAGAGUGCGUAAUAGCUCACUGGUCGAGUGAUCCUGCGCCGAAGAUUUCCGGGGCUAAAACUUACUACCGAAGCUACGGCAUCAGUAAUGAUGGGUAGGGGAGCUUCCCAUACGGGUUGAAGCAUGACCGUAAGGACAUGUGGACAGUAUGGGAGUGAGAAUGUUGGCAUGAGUAGCGAGAUGUGGGUGAGAAUCCCACAGGCCGUAAACCCAAGGUUUCCAGGGGAAGGUUCGUCCGCCCUGGGUUAGUCGGGACCUAAGCUGAGGCCGAAAGGCGUAGGUGAUGGACAACAGGUUGAUAUUCCUGUACUACCGAUAACCGUUUGAGAGAAGGGAUGACACAGUAGGAUAAGCUAAGCACACUGUUGGUUAUGUGUGCCCAAGCAUUGAGGCAGUCAAAGUAGGCAAAUCCGCUUUGAUAAUGCUGGGAUGUGAUGGGGAGCGAAAUUUAGUAGCGAAGUAGCUGAUUUCACACUGUCAAGAAAAGUCUCUAUCGAGGUUAAAGGUACCCGUACCGCAAACCGACACAGGUGGGUGAGGAGAGUAUCCUAAGGCCAGCGAGAGAACUGUUGUUAAGGAACUCGGCAAAAUGACCCCGUAACUUAGGGAUAAGGGGUGCCACCAUCAGGUGGCCGCAGAGAAUAGGCCCAAGCGACUGUUUACCAAAAACAUAGGUUUCUGCUAAGUCGCAAGACGAUGUAUAGGAGCUGACGCCUGCCCGGUGCUGGAAGGUUAAGGGGAUCUGUUAGAGCAAUCGAAGCAGUGAACUUAAGCCCCAGUAAACGGCGGCCGUAACUAUAACGGUCCUAAGGUAGCGAAAUUCCUUGUCGGGUAAGUUCCGACCCGCACGAAAGGCGUAACGAUUUGGGCACUGUCUCAACAACAGACUCGGUGAAAUUGUAAUUCCGGUGAAGAUGCCGGAUACCUGCGACAGGACGGAAAGACCCCAUGGAGCUUUACUGUAGCUUGACAUUGGGUCUUGGUACUACAUGUACAGGAUAGGUGGGAGGCUUUGAAACCAGGACGCCAGUUUUGGCGGAGCCAUCCUUGGGAUACCACCCUUGUAGUACUGGGACUCUAACCAUAGGCCAUGAAUCUGGUCUUGGGACACUGUCAGGUGGGCAGUUUGACUGGGGCGGUCGCCUCCCAAAAGGUAACGGAGGCGCUCAAAGGUUCUCUCAGUACGGUCGGAAAUCGUACGUAGAGUGUAAAGGCAAAAGAGAGCUUGAUUGCAAGACAUACAGGUCGAGCAAGGAUGAAAAUCGGACUUAGUGAUCCGGUGGUUCUGCGUGGAAGGGCCAUCGCUCAACGGAUAAAAGCUACCCUGGGGAUAACAGGCUUAUCUCCCCCAAGAGUCCACAUCGACGGGGAGGUUUGGCACCUCGAUGUCGGCUCAUCACAUCCUGGGGCUGUAGUAGGUCCCAAGGGUUGGGCUGUUCGCCCAUUAAAGUGGUACGCGAGCUGGGUUCAGAACGUCGUGAGACAGUUCGGUCCCUAUCCGUCGCAGGCGUAGGAAAUUUGAGAAGACCUGUCCUUAGUACGAGAGGACCGGGAUGGACGUACCUCUGGUGUACCAGUUGUCCUGCCAAGGGCAUGGCUGGGUAGCUAUGUACGGAAUGGAUAAGCGCUGAAAGCAUCUAAGCGCGAAGCCAACUUCAAGAUAAGAUUUCCCACCGCAAGGGUAAGACCCCAGAAAGACUAUCUGGUUGAUAGGUCGAAGGUGUAAGUGCAGCAAUGUAUUUAGCUUAUCGAUACUAAUAGGUCGAGGACUUGACCAA
rnacentral:rRNA from 2 species